UAGGGAAUCUUCCGCAAUGGGCGGAAGCUUGACGGAGCAACGCCGCGUGAGUGAUGAAGGUCUUCGGAUCGUAAAACUCUGUUAUUAGGGAAGAACAAAUGUGUAAGUAACUAUGCACGUCUUGACGGUACCUAAUCAGAAAGCCACGGCUAACUACGUGCCAGCAGCCGCGGAAAUACGUAGGUGGCAAGCGUUAUCCGGAAUUAUUGGGCGUAAAGCGCGCGUAGGCGGUUUUUUAAGUCUGAUGUGAAAGCCCACGGCUCAACCGUGGAGGGUCAUUGGAAACUGGAAAACUUGAGUGCAGAAGAGGAAAGUGGAAUUCCAUGUGUAGCGGUGAAAUGCGCAGAGAUAUGGAGGAACACCAGUGGCGAAGGCGACUUUCUGGUCUGUAACUGACGCUGAUGUGCGAAAGCGUGGGGAUCAAACAGG
rnacentral:rRNA from 1 species